GACGAGUGUUCACGUUACCAGCCAACCGCUCUGUACCAAGUGUCUGUUCUGCUCAAGAAACAAAGCAUCCAGAACCAAUUAUUACUAAUUUGAGUUGAGUAAAAUAUCAUUCUAACAAUAACAAAAGAACAACCCAAUUUAAAAAAUGGACAAAAGGCUUAAAGACAAUUCUCCAAAGAAUCUAUACAAAUGAAGACUGAACCGAUGAAAAUGUGUUCCACCUCACUAAUAAUGAGGCAGCAAAGACCGAUUCGCACCAAUUUGAACAGGUUUCAUUUAAGAGAAGGAGAAGAGAAGGAAGACGAGAAAGGACAAAGCAGGUAUAAGGGAAUAGAGAACUGAGAACUGGAUCCCUUGUGUGUUGCUGAUGAGACUGUAAGACAAUGCAGCUGCUGUAGGGAGCAGUUUGGCAGGUCUUCAAAGCCUUAAACAUAGAACUGCUAUAAGAUCCCUCCGUUUCACCUCUGGCUGUAUACUUAAGGGAACCAAAAGCCCAGACUCCAACAGUUAACCCAGCCUCACUGUCAAAUGAUGUUGACAUCUGAGUGCCCAUCAGUCGCUGUAGACAAGCACAGCAUGGUAAGGCCGUUGUACACAGCAAUACCAAUGGACUUUAAAGACAUCACGUGAAGAGAAAUAAGCCCGUUGCAAAUCGUGGACAAAUGACGUGUAGUUUGUAGAAGCUGUCUUGAAGAGUCAGAUUCCUAGAAAAUAGAAUGGUGGCCGCCAAGAGCUGGAGGCAGGGGAGAGUGUUGCGUUUGUAUUCAUUUUGUGUGAGUGCAUGUGUGUAUUUGGGUGCAAAUAAAAGCCAAGGGAAAAACUU
rnacentral:lncRNA from 1 species